CCUACGGGAGGCAGCAGUGGGGGAUAUUGCACAAUGGGGGAAACCCUGAUGCAGCGACGCCGCGUGAGUGAAGAAGGAUUUCGGUAUGUAAAGCUCUAUCAGCAGGGAAGAAAAUGACAGUACCUGACCAAGAAGCCCCGGCUAACUACGUGCCAGCAGCCGGGGUACUACGUAGGGGGCAAGCGUUAUCCGGAUUUACUGGGUGUAAAGGGAGCGUAGACGGUUCUGUAAGUCUGGAGUGAAAGCCCGGGGCCCAACCCCGGGACAGCCUUGGAAACUGUGUAACUGGAGUACAGGAGGGGCAGGCGGAAUGCGGGGUGUAGCGGUGAAAUGCGUAGAUAUCGGGAGGAACACCGACGGCGAAGGCAGCCUGCUGGACUGAAACUGACGUUGAGGCUCGAAAGCGUGGGGAGCAAACAGGAUUAGAUACCCGUGUAGUC
rnacentral:rRNA from 1 species